CCUGUAAUAAAGGGAUGUUUUUGUCAGAAUGGGGGAAUGGAAGGGUUUGGGGGGAAAGCAGAUAAGGGCAGACGAGCUAGAGGCUUCUCCUUAAUGGAGAACGCCUUGUCUUGAUAACUGUGUUUGACUUCUUCUCCUUCUGAGAAGGUACCACAUUCUGUUUUUUGAACCAGAAACUUUUCUUUGGUAUGACUGGAUUUAGCACUAGUUGGUUAAAAGUUAGUAUUGGGGGAUGGGGAAAAGAUUCUUUUUUGCUUGAAUGGCUUCUCUUAAGUAUGUAAAUGAAGGGCCUCAAGGUUGUGUGCUGUGUCAAGAUCCACGAGCAAAAGACCACCAGGAGCACACCAGCAGUUCAUCCGAGGCAGGUUUCCUUGGUUUGCUGCAGCAGGGAGAAAUGUACCCCAAAGGAACCUGGGGGCCAUCCCAGGCAGGGAGGGUUCUUAAUUACCCCAAAUGCCACUACCCCAAAAUAAUUAUCUUCAACCUUGGUUGAUCAUCAUUUGAGCAACUUUCUACACAAUGUAUAGAGAAGGUUAGAUAGAAAUCAUUUAAUGACAUACAAUGUAAAAUAAUUUUGUGUUAGAAUUGUGCCAGCGAUCAGCUGCAGGCUGGGUUUUUGGCUCAUAUGUGCUAUUUGGCUGUGAUUUUGGCCUGAACUCUUAGAAAGUUGACUAGCCAAACACUUCAGCAUCAUAUCUGACGUCUUUGAACUUGUGUGGUCCACGAUCAUGACUUCCAUCACACCUUAUCAAGGUAACAAUGUUUGCAAAUGGGAUUGAUCCAGUAGAUGGGAAAAGAUUGAUGGAAGACGAGAGAAAUGUUGGAAGAACGGAAUCCUGAGGGGCUGAGAGAGGAAGGGACCUAUUGGCAGCAGAGAGGUUGGCCUUGGACAUCAGCUCCUGCUAGCUGUUUGCAUGGCUUCUUCUCUCCCCUACUCUGCUCGAAUGUCUGCUCCUUGGAGAAGCCUUUCCUGACCACUCUUCUGGAAAAGUGCCACCCAUCACUCUAUCCUCUCAUCUUGCUUUGCUUUUAUCUGGAGCACUUCUCAUAAUCAUAUUAUAUAUAACACAUUGGUUUAUUUUCCAUCUUCCUCACUAGGAUAUAAGCUCCGUGUGGGAAGAGACUUGGUCUUGUUCACCCUUGUAUUCUCAGCACCCAGAACAGUGGCUUGCACGGUAGGUGCCCAAUAAACAGUUGAGCAUGAAGGAACAAGUGAAUCUUUCCCCGAUGCCCACACUCAAUUCUCACUCCAUUCUUAUUUUUAUUCCAUUCUUCUAUAACCCACAUCUCUUCCCCCAUUCACCCAGGAAAACAUUCAGUCCCGUGUCCAUUGUCACCCCUGUCUGCCCCAUGCCAUCAUUCCCCCAACCAAUGUGUACCCCGCCUCUUCCAGGUCUGAUCUCCUCCACCCCUCCCCAUCUUAAUUCCCUUUCAGACCCCAGUCUCAGCUCUAGCCCUACCCAGUUGGGUUCCUCAUCCUGAUCCCAUCACUAAGGCUACCCUCAUCCGGUUUCCACUGCCUAUACCCUCUCUGCUCCCCCCACUCCCAUUUCAUUCUCUUGCCACCAACACGGGGUCUCCACCUCCAUCACUGUUUCUCCCCCAUUCCCUUCUGCCAACACCAUCACCACCUAACCCGCCUCCUCGCCUUGGUUGGAAAUCGCCAGGGCCAUGGUUAUUACAAGUCUGUGGGAAGAGAGUCUGAUGAAUUCUUUCUCAGAGUGACUUAGAUAUAUAUUAACAAGCCUGUCUUACAAACUAGCAUUAUUCCCCACAGCAGGCAUAAUACAUGACUUUCUGAAUGAAAUUUUCUAGAACAUGUUUUACAAAUAUUGGCAUUAUCACAAGCCUUGGGACUAAGGGGUUCUGAACCUGAGAGAUUAAGCCAAACUCUGUGGUAAAAACAAUAUGACUUGUCAGAGGGCUUUUUCCCUCCCUUAAUUUCUAAUGUCAGGAAACACUGAGAAUGUCUGUAAGUAAUGAUAAAAAAACAGAGCAAUUCCAACUGAAUCUUGCUCGGCACUCUGGUCUCUGCCCCAGACUGACUAGUCAGCUAACAAGCCUUUUUGUAUCACUCACUGGGUUGUAAGUACUUUGUCUUCCUUUAUCUUCAAGAGAAAUUAUCAGCCCAGCACCUGAAUAAACACAGUAUUUCUGGCUUCUUUAUUUUUUAUUUUUAUUAUUAUUAUUUUUUAUUUCUGGCUUCUUGAGGCUUUUGUUUUAUAAGUCUUUCCCCUCAUCCCAAUUUGUGACCUAGAAUUUCCUUGUCAAGGCUGGACCAAAAUAUGUAUAUAUUAAA